CCGAGCCAGGACAGGUGGAAACAAUCAGCACUCCAACAGGAAGAAGGACACAGGGAGAGGAAGGAGCAGUGAGAUGGAAGCAAAGACUAAACACAAACAAAGCCAAAUUGUCAUGAGGGACACAAGAUCUCUAUGGACUUUGGGAGACUGAAGAUGGUCGCCUGUGGCGAACGUCAAAGACCAUCUUCUUACAUGUGCCACCCAGAGUCUGACCAGCAGCGAGAAAGAAGAGAAGACCAUCAAACUUCAGAAUCGAGGAGAUGAAAGCAUCUCAAUGCAGAAAGAAUUGAUUCCACAUCCAUCCCCGCUUGGACCGGUGCAGAAUCCUGCCGUCGCUCUCCUUCGUCCCGAACGCAUUCCCAAUAUUCCCAGGCGUGAGAGGCAGGGCGACGGCGACGGGCCAAAGGGCGCAGAGCGCCAGGACCACCCGGCCGAUGAGCAUGGUAUCCGAGCGGCGAGGGGGUCUCACGUCCGGACGACUGGGCAAAUUUAAGGUGCACCAGUGACAUCACUCCCUCUGAUUGAGGAUGCUCUCCAGGUGCUGGAUUGGGUUCAGGUGUGGAGCAGACAUACUUGACCACUCCAUCACUUUCGGCUUCCUCAGCAAGGCACUUGAUCAUCUUGGAGAUCCCCAAUCCUGACAAUCAUGAUCCUGACAUCACCACCACCAUGCUUGCUUGCAGGCAGGACACACUUGUUUUCUUGGAAUUCUUAUGUCUCUCUUUUGUGGACUGCAGCUCCCCCGUUCUGGCAGCACUCAUGCACCAUGCUUGACUUUUCGAGUCGUAGAUGGCUGUCAAAGUGGACCAACUUGUCCGAAUACCUACUCAGACUUCUUCUGUCCAGCAGCCGUGAUGAGACGAGUAGUUGGAGUUGGAGGUGCUGCUGAGCGGACGCAGAAGGAAAAGACAUUGCACUAUUUAUGAAAAUAAAACAGUGUUAUACCU